GACCUGGAGUGUUGAAAAAAUAUCCAGGAGAACUGGUUCCUUUUUUGCAGGGAGGCAGUUUGCAAGGACAAGGUGGUUGCUGUGCUCUCUAGCAAAAAUACUCCCCUUGGGAUGUCCAAGGUGAGGAAAUGUUGGCCACGUGUGGGCUGGAGCAAAGGAUGUCGAGUACCACCAUGUCCCUGAGGUCACCCUUUCUCCUGCUGGGAGAGCACGAGGCGGAUGGAAAGGAUCCCCAGGCAUCUGCAGGCACAAGGGACUCGUACAGCUGUGAUUUUCCUACAGCCCUCGUGAAAUGGACUUUCAGGGUACCAUGGGUAAUGUGCCAGCUCUCCUGCUGAAGCUUUUGUCUGCUACAUUUGAACACAAAGAGCAGAACUAAAGUCAGGUCUGUUCUGGAGCGUGUUA